rnacentral:rRNA from 1 species
GCAAGGGGGUCAUCCCGACUUACCAACCCGAUGCAAACUGCGAAUACCGGAGAAUGUUAUCACGGGAGACACACGGCGGGUGCUAACGUCCGUCGUGAAGAGGGAAACAACCCAGACCGCCAGCUAAGGUCCCAAAGUCAUGGUUAAGUGGGAAACGAUGUGGGAAGGCCCAGACAGCCAGGAUGUUGGCUUAGAAGCAGCCAUCAUUUAAAGAAAGCGUAAUAGCUCACUGGUCGAGUCGGCCUGCGCGGAAGAUGUAACGGGGCUAAACCAUGCACCGAAGCUGCGGCAGCGACACUAUGUGUUGUUGGGUAGGGGAGCGUUCUGUAAGCCUGUGAAGGUGUGCUGUGAGGCAUGCUGGAGGUAUCAGAAGUGCGAAUGCUGACAUAAGUAACGAUAAAGCGGGUGAAAAGCCCGCUCGCCGGAAGACCAAGGGUUCCUGUCCAACGUUAAUCGGGGCAGGGUGAGUCGACCCCUAAGGCGAGGCCGAAAGGCGUAGUCGAUGGGAAACAGGUUAAUAUUCCUGUACUUGGUGUUACUGCGAAGGGGGGACGGAGAAGGCUAUGUUGGCCGGGCGACGGUUGUCCCGGUUUAAGCGUGUAGGCUGGUUUUCCAGGCAAAUCCGGAAAAUCAAGGCUGAGGCGUGAUGACGAGGCACUACGGUGCUGAAGCAACAAAUGCCCUGCUUCCAGGAAAAGCCUCUAAGCAUCAGGUAACAUUAAAUCGUACCCCAAACCGACACAGGUGGUCAGGUAGAGAAUACCAAGGCGCUUGAGAGAACUCGGGUGAAGGAACUAGGCAAAAUGGUGCCGUAACUUCGGGAGAAGGCACGCUGAUAUGUAGGUGAAGUCCCUCGCGGAUGGAGCUGAAAUCAGUCGAAGAUACCAGCUGGCUGCAACUGUUUAUUAAAAACACAGCACUGUGCAAACACGAAAGUGGACGUAUACGGUGUGACGCCUGCCCGGUGCCGGAAGGUUAAUUGAUGGGGUUAGCGGUAACGCGAAGCUCUUGAUCGAAGCCCCGGUAAACGGCGGCCGUAACUAUAACGGUCCUAAGGUAGCGAAAUUCCUUGUCGGGUAAGUUCCGACCUGCACGAAUGGCGUAAUGAUGGCCAGGCUGUCUCCACCCGAGACUCAGUGAAAUUGAACUCGCUGUGAAGAUGCAGUGUACCCGCGGCAAGACGGAAAGACCCCGUGAACCUUUACUAUAGCUUGACACUGAACAUUGAGCCUUGAUGUGUAGGAUAGGUGGGAGGCUUUGAAGUGUGGACGCCAGUCUGCAUGGAGCCGACCUUGAAAUACCACCCUUUAAUGUUU